rnacentral:rRNA from 1 species
UUCCGGUUGAUCCCGCCGGAGGCUACUGCUAUUGGAGUUCGAUUAAGCCAUGCGAGUCUAAGGGAUCUUCGGAUCCCUGGCGUAAUGCUCAGUAACACGUGGAUAAUCUACCCUCAGGUGGGGCAUAAACCCGGGAAACUGGGGCCAAUUCCCCAUAAAUACAGAUGGCUGGAAUGCUUCUGUAUUCAAAGCUCCGGCGCCUGAGGAUGAGUCUGCGGCCUAUCAGGUUGUAGUCAGGGUCAUGACCUGACUAGCCAGCGACGGGUAUGGGGUGUGAGAGCACUUGCCCAGAGAUGGUUUCUGAGACACGAAACCAGGCCCUACGGGGCGCAGCAGGCGCGAAAACUUCGCAAUGCGGGAAACCGUGACGAGGGGAUUCCAAGUGUCUAUGCAUUGCAUAGACUGUUUUUUAGCCUAAAUAGCUAUUAGAGUAAGGGGUGGGCAAGACCGGUGCCAGCCGCCGCGGUAACACCGGCACCUCGAGUGGUAGCCACUAUUAUUGGGCCUAAAGCGUUCGUAGCCGGUUUGGUAAAUUCUUGGGUAAAUCGUACCGCUUAACGGUGCGGAUUCCGGGGACACUACCAGACUUGAGACCGGGGGAGAUCAGAGGUACUUGCGGGGGAGCGGUGAAAUGUUGUAAUCCCGCAGGGACCACCAGUGGCGAAGGCGUCUGAUCAGAACGGCUCUGACGGUGAGGAACGAAACCCUGGGGCGCAAACGGGAUUAGAUACCCCGGUAGUCCAGGGCGUAAACGCUGCUGACUUGGUGUUGGGGAUCCUACGAGGAUGUCCAGUGCUGGCGCGAAGGUAUUAAGUCAGCCGCCUGGGGAGUACGGUCGCAAGACUGAAACUUAAAGGAAUUGGCGGGGGAGCACUGCAACGUGUGGAGCGUGCGGUUUAAUUGGAGUCAACGCCGGG